UACAGAGGUCUCAAGCGUUGUUCGGAUUCAUUGGGCGUAAAGGGUGCGUAGGUGGCGCCAUAAGUCAGGUGUGAAAUCUCGGGGCUCAACCUCGAAACUGCACUUGAUACUGUGGUGCUUGAGUACUGGAGAGGAGAUUGGAAUUUACGGUGUAGCAGUGAAAUGCGUAGAUAUCGUAAGGAAGACCAGUGGCGAAGGCGAGUCUCUGGACGACUCCUGACACUGAGGCACGAAAGCUAGGGGAGCAAACAGG
rnacentral:rRNA from 1 species